rnacentral:rRNA from 1 species
CGGAAUAAAAUUCAGUAUCCCGUUAUCCCCGUUUAAAUGGCGUUGCGGGGUCACAUGGAGAUGGCUCCCCGUUCCUUUAAUGAUUCGGUGGGGUAAAGGCCUUCCAAGACAUUAAUGCUUAGCCGAGUUGAGAGAUGGUUCGGCCCCAUAGGGCCUGAAUCACGCCCCAAACUCUUACGGGAGGCUCCAUUAGGGAUUCUUCCACAAUGGGCGAAACCCUGAUGGAGCAACGCCGGGUGUGGGAUGAAGGCUUUCGGGUCGUAAACACACUGUCGUAUGGGAAGAAAAGUUAAGGUAGGGAAUGACCUUAGCCCGACGGUACCAUACCAGAAAGGGAGGGCUAAAUACGUGCCAGCAGCCGCGGUAAUACGUAUGUCCCGAGCGUUAUCCGGAUUUAUUGGGCGUAAAGCGAGCGCAGACGGUUGGUUAAGUCUGAUGUGAAAGCCCGGAGCUCAACUCCGGAAAGGCAUGGAAACUGG